AAAUACUUCCUCAGACCUGGUGUCAACCAUCGGACUCCAGCAGGCUGCAGCCUGAAAGGAGGAGGGGGGUCAGAGCAGCACGUUCUCUUUCAGCAUGCAAACAUGGACAUGACAUCACUCUAGAAAAAGCAGCUCUGAUCCUCAUCACACUGAGCUGCUUUGCUGUUGCUAGGCAACACAACUGUCCAUCACAUCACAUGAUGACUAUCAACAGCAGCUACAUUCAGCCAAUCAGAAACAGGCGUCUCAAAGUCAAAUCAUGUCAACAAUGAGACUUUUUCUUGUCAGACUCAGCAGUUUGUAUUGUGAACAGAUGACAGGACUGUUUGA